AUUCUGGUUGAUCCUGGCGGAGGUUACUGCUAUUGGAAUCCGAUUAAGCCAUGCGAGUCGAUCGGGUCAGACCCGAGGCGCACUGCUCAGUAACACGUGGAGAAUCUGCCCUUAGGUGAGGAAUAACCUCGGGAAACUGAGAAUAAUACCUCAUAGGUUAUGGAUGCUGGAAUGCUUCAUAGCCCAAAGCCCCGGCGCCUAAGGAUGACUCUGCGGACUAUCAGGUAGUAGUCAGGGUAACGACCUGACUAGCCUACGACGGAUACGGGGUGUGAGAGCACUAGCCCGGAGAUGGAUUCUGAGACACGAAUCCAGGCCCUACGGGGUGCAGCAGGCGCGAAACUUCCGCAAUGCUCGACAGAGUGACGGAGGGAUUCCAAGUGCCUAUGCUAUGCGUAGGCUGUUUUUAUGUCUAAAUAACAUGGAGAGUAAGAGCUGGGUAAGACGGGUGCCAGCCGCCGCGGUAAUACCUGCAGCUCGAGUGGUAACCGCUAUUAUUGGCCUAAAGCGUCCGUACCCGGUUUGGUAAAUAUCUGGGUAAAUCGUGAGGCUUACUUCACGAAUUUCGGAUAGACUGCCAGACUUGGGAUCGGGGGAGG
rnacentral:rRNA from 1 species